rnacentral:rRNA from 1 species
AUUGAACGCUGGCGGCAGGCCUAACACAUGCAAGUCGAGCGAGCGGCGGACGGGUGAGUAAUGUCUGGGAAUCUGCCUGAUGGAGGGGGAUAACUCCUGGAAACGGUAGCUAAUACCGCAUACUAUCCGAUGAGCCCAGAUGGGAUUGGCUAGUAGGGGGGGUAACGGCUCACCUAGGCGACGAUCCUUAGCUGGUCUGAGUGGAUGAUCAGCCACACUGGGACUGAGACACGGUCCAGACUCCGACGGGAGGCAGCAGUGGGGAAUAUUGCACAAUGGGCGCAAGCCUGAUGCAGCCAUGCCGCGUGUAUGAAGAAGGCCUUCGGGUUGUAAAGUACUUUCAGUGGGGAGGCGUUACCCGCAGAAGAAGCACCGGCUAACUCCGUGCCAGCAGCCGCGGUAAUUC